rnacentral:rRNA from 1 species
UUUUUGGAGAGUUUGAUCCUGGCUCAGGACGAACGCUGGCGGCGUGCCUAAUACAUGCAAGUCGAGCGGUCCCUUCGGGGAUAGCGGCGGACGGGUGAGUAACACGUAGGCAACCUGCCUGUAAGAUCGGGAUAACUAUCGGAAACGAUAGCUAAGACCGGAUAGCUGGUUUUCUCGCAUGAGAGAAUCAUGAAACACGGGGCAACCUGUGGCUUACAGAUGGGCCUGCGGCGCAUUAGCUAGUUGGUGAGGUAACGGCUCACCAAGGCGACGAUGCGUAGCCGACCUGAGAGGGUGAACGGCCACACUGGGAC